rnacentral:rRNA from 1 species
UUAAGCAUAUCAAUAAGCGGAGGAAAAGAAACCAACAGGGAUUGCCUCAGUAGCGGCGAGUGAAGCGGCAAAAGCUCAAAUUUGAAAUCUGGCGUCUUUGGCGUCCGAGUUGUAAUUUGAAGAAGGUAUCUUUGGGCCCGGCUCUUGUCUAUGUUCCUUGGAACAGGACGUCACAGAGGGUGAGAAUCCCGUGCGAUGAGAUGACCCGGGUCUGUGUAAAGUUCCUUCGACGAGUCGAGUUGUUUGGGAAUGCAGCUCUAAGUGGGUGGUAAAUUCCAUCUAAAGCUAAAUAUUGGCGAGAGACCGAUAGCGAACAAGUACAGUGAUGGAAAGAUGAAAAGAACUUUGAAAAGAGAGUGAAAAAGUACGUGAAAUUGUUGAAAGGGAAGGGCUUGAGAUCAGACUUGGUAUUUUGCAUGUUGCUCUCUCGGGGGCGGCCGCUGCGGUUUACCGGGCCAGCAUCGGUUUGGAGCGGCAGGAUAAUGGCGGAGGAAUGUGGCACGGCUUCUGCUGUGUGUUAUAGCCUCUGACGAUGCUGCCAGCCUAGACCGAGGACUGCGGUUUUUACCUAGGAUGUUGGCAUAAUGAUCUUAAGUCGCCCGUCUU